GGGGCCGUAGUCUAGCCUGGAUAAGGCACCAGCCUGCGGAGUUGGUAAUCUCCGGUUCGAAUCCGGACGGUCCCGCCA
rnacentral:tRNA from 1 species